UUGGAGGGCAAGUCUGGUGCCAGCAGCCGCGGUAAUUCCAGCUCCAAUAGCGUAUAUUAAAGUUGUUGCAGUUAAAAAGCUCGUAGUUGAACCUCGGGGUCUACCCAUCGGUCAGGCUUAAUUGUCUGCACUGGUGAGAUGGAUCUCUACCUUCUGAGGAACUUUCAUGCCAUUUAUUUGGUGUGAUGGGAAAUCAGGACUGUUACUUUGAAAAAAUUAGAGUGUUUAAAGCAGACUAUCGUCUGAAUACAUUAGCAUGGAAUAAUGAAAUAGGACGGACUGAUUCUAUUUCGUUGGUUUCUAGGAUCACCGUAAUGAUUAAUAGGGAUAGUUGGGGGCAUUAGUAUUCAAUUGUCAGAGGUGAAAUUCUUGGAUUUAUUGAAGACUAACUACUGCGAAAGCAUUUGCCAAGGAUGUUUUCAUUAAUCAAAAACGAAAGUUAGGGGAUCGAAGACGAUCAGAUACCGUCGUAGUCUUAACCAUAAACUAUGCCGACUAGGGAUCGGACGAAGUUAAUUUUAUAAUGACGCGUUCGGCACCUUACGGGAAACCAAAGUGUUUGGGUUC
rnacentral:rRNA from 1 species